rnacentral:rRNA from 1 species
GUGGGUAGUUUGACUGGGGCGGUCUCCUCCUAAAGAGUAACGGAGGAGCACGAAGGUUGGCUAAUCCUGGUCGGACAUCAGGAGGUUAGUGCAAUGGCAUAAGCCAGCUUGACUGCGAGCGUGACGGCGCGAGCAGGUGCGAAAGCAGGUCAUAGUGAUCCGGUGGUUCUGAAUGGAAGGGCCAUCGCUCAACGGAUAAAAGGUACUCCGGGGAUAACAGGCUGAUACCGCCCAAGAGUUCAUAUCGACGGCGGUGUUUGGCACCUCGAUGUCGGCUCAUCACAUCCUGGGGCUGAAGUAGGUCCCAAGGGUAUGGCUGUUCGCCAUUUAAAGUGGUACGCGAGCUGGGUUUAGAACGUCGUGAGACAGUUCGGUCCCUAUCUGCCGUGGGCGCUGGAGAACUGAGGGGGGCUGCUCCUAGUACGAGAGGACCGGAGUGGACGCAUCACUGGUGUUCGGGUUGUCAUGCCAAUGGCACUGCCCGGUAGCUAAAUGCGGAAGAGAUAAGUGCUGAAAGCAUCUAAGCACGAAACUUGCCCCGAGAUGAGUUCUCCCUGAGACUUUAGGUCUCCUGAAGGAACGUUGAAGACGACGACGUUGAUAGGCCGGGUGUGUAAGCGCAGCGAUGCGUUGAGCUAACCGGUACU